AAGACUAUAGACCUGCGGAGUACCUGCGGAGGGAUCAUUACCGAGUUUACAACUCCCAAACCCAUGUGAACAUACCUAUCGUUGCUUCGGCGGGAUCGCCCCGGGCGCCUUGUGUGCCCCGGAUCCAGGCACCCGCCGGGGGACCUUAACUCUUGUUUUAUUUAGAAUCUUCUGAGUAGUUUUUACAAAUAAAUAAAAACUUUUAACAACGGAUCUCU
rnacentral:misc_RNA from 1 species